rnacentral:rRNA from 1 species
GAUGAACGCUAGCGGCAGGCUUAAUACAUGCAAGUCGAGGGACAGCACAGGUAGCAAUACUGGGUGGUAACCGGCAAACGGGUGCGGAACACGUACACAACCUUCCUUUAAGUGGGGGAUAGCCCAGAGAAAUUUGGAUUAAUACCCCGUAAUAUAGUUGAAUGGCAUCAUUUGAUUAUUAUAGCUACGGCGCUUAAUGAUGGGUGUGCGGGUGAUUAGAUAGUUGGCGGGGUAACGGCCCACCAAGUCUACGAUCAGUAGCUGAUGUGAGAGCAUGAUCAGCCACACGGGCACUGAGACACGGGCCCCACUCCUACGGGAGGCAGCAGUAAUGAAUAUUGGUCAAUGGACGCAAGUCUGAACCAGCCAUGCCGCGUGAAGGAUUAAGGUCCUCUGGAUUGUAAACUUCUUUUAUUUGGGACGAAAAAGGGCCUUUCUAGGUCAACUGACGGUACCAGAUGAAUAAGCACCGGCUAACUCCGUGCCAGCCGCCGCCGUAAUAC